GAUAAGCUUGUCAAGGACGGAAAGAGCGAUAUAUUUAGUUUGGGGAUAUUCUGAUUUUUCCAAGAUGGAGUAAGCCUGCGACCAUGCAUCUGGAUGUGCCUGAAAUUGGGUCAGGACUUGUUGAGCCUGUUGUUGCUCUGCACCGACACCUUGGUAAAAGGUUUGGACAACACGAUCCAAAAGGGCAACGUCUAAUUCGCGAUCGAAUGCCAGGAUGCCCUCCAUAUUUACAAAUCAAAAAGCAAAAAAUGUAAAUUGAUGGUUGGCAACGUAUUGAACAAAUGUCUUAAGUAAAAAGAA